GACGGGUGAGUAAUGCUUAGGAAUCUGCCUAUUAGUGGGGGACAACAUUCCGAAAGGAAUGCUAAUACCGCAUACGUCCUACGGGAGAAAGCAGGGGAUCUUCGGACCUUGCGCUAAUAGAUGAGCCUAAGUCGGAUUAGCUAGUUGGUGGGGUAAAGGCCUACCAAGGCGACGAUCUGUAGCGGGUCUGAGAGGAUGAUCCGCCACACUGGGACUGAGACACGGCCCAGACUCCUACGGGAGGCAGCAGUGGGGAAUAUUGGACAAUGGGGGGAACCCUGAUCCAGCCAUGCCGCGUGUGUGAAGAAGGCCUUAUGGUUGUAAAGCACUUUAAGCGAGGAGGAGGCUACUGAGACUAAUACUCUUGGAUAGUGGACGUUACUCGCAGAAUAAGCACCGGCUAACUCUGUGCCAGCAGCCGCGGUAAUACAGAGGGUGCGAGCGUUAAUCGGAUUUACUGGGCGUAAAGCGUGCGUAGGCGGCUUUUUAAGUCGGAUGUGAAAUCCCCGAGCUUAACUUGGGAAUUGCAUUCGAUACUGGGAAGCUAGAGUAUGGGAGAGGAUGGUAGAAUUCCAGGUGUAGCGGUGAAAUGCGUAGAGAUCUGGAGGAAUACCGAUGGCGAAGGCAGCCAUCUGGCCUAAUACUGACGCUGAGGUACGAAAGCAUGGGGAGCAAACAGGAUUAGAUACCCUGGUAGUCCAUGCCGUAAACGAUGUCUACUAGCCGUUGGGGCCUUUGAGGCUUUAGUGGCGCAGCUAACGCGAUAAGUAGACCGCCUGGGGAGUACGGUCGCAAGACUAAAACUCAAAUGAAUUGACGGGGGCCCGCACAAGCGGUGGAG
rnacentral:rRNA from 1 species